rnacentral:rRNA from 1 species
UACGUAGGGUGCAGGCGUUAAUCGGAAUACUGGGCGUAAAGCGUGCGCAGGCGGUUAUGUAAGACAGAUGUGAAAUCCCCGGGCUCAACCUGGGAACUGCAUUUGUGACUGCACAGCUUGAGUGCGGCAGAGGGGGAUGGAAUUCCGCGUGUAGCAGUGAAAUGCGUAGAUAUGCGGAGGAACACCGAUGGCGAAGGCAAUCCCCUGGGCCUGCACUGACGCUCAUGCACGAAAGCGUGGGGAGCAAACAGG